UAAUAAGUGUUUUAUGGCACUUUUUAAAUCCAUAUCCACCUUGUGUGCAAUGUCAGUCGAUCUUCUUUCAUGGAGAUCGACCAAACAUCAACCUUUAUUUUUAACUCUUUGUCUGAAAAAUAUUAUGAAUAAACAAUUCAAAAUA
rnacentral:misc_RNA from 1 species